rnacentral:rRNA from 1 species
UACGUAGGGGCAAGCGUUGUCCGGAAUCAUUGGGCGUAAAGCGCGUGUAGGCGGCCAGAUAAGUCCGCUGUCGAAAUCUCGAGGCUCAACUUCGAGCUGUCGGUGGAAACUGUCUGGCUAGAGUCCGGAAGAGGAGAGUGGAAUUCCCGGUGUAGUGGUGAAAUGCGUAGAUAUCGGGAGGAACACCAGUGGCGAAGGCGACUUCCUGGCCUGUUCUUGACGCUGGAGGCGCGAAAGCUAGGGGAGCAAACGGG